CCCCUUUCCGGCUUUGCUGCGUGAAUGCCGAACUGGCGCCCGAGUGUUUGCGGGAGAAGGGAACGGGUAAGGUGAGGAGGUACGGCGGACACCGGGAAGAAAAUUGAGUCCGACUGGAGUGGAUAUAAUUGAGAAUAAUUUGCAGACUGGGAUCUCAAAACAAGUUCUGACAGCCAGCGGCGCCAUCAGGAUCUGAAUAUCAUUGGCAUUUAACUGUGGAAGGAAAAAGUUGAUUUGCACUUCGACUUCAAAUGAAGCCACAUCGAGAUCCGAUGGUCACUUUGAAGGAAAAAGACCCAUUCACACAGGGGAGAAACAUGCACUGUCUGUGUGUGGAAGAGUCUGUGAAGAUUCAUCUGAAAUGUCCAAACGCCAGUGCAGUCACACUGGGGAAAGACUGUGGAAAUAUGGGGAUUGUGGGAAGGGAUUUCUUUACCCAUCCCAGCUGAAAACUCACCCAUGCAAUCACACUGGGGAGAAGCCAUUCACCUGCUCUGAUUGUGGAAUGGGAUUCACUCAGUCAUCGAAACUGCAGAUACACCAGCGAAUGCAGAGGAGAAAGACACCAUUCACCUGUUAUUAUUGUGGUAAAGGAUUCACUCACCCGUCUAGUCUACAGGAACAUCAGUGUGUUCGCACCGGGGAGAGACCAUUCAUCUGCUGUUCGUGUGGGAAAGGAUUCACUCAGUCGCCUUUCCUGCUGAUAUACCAGCAAGUCACACUGGGAAGAAACAUUCACUCAGUCAUGUCACCUGCUGAUAUACCAGCCUAUUCUCUCUGUGGAGAGACCUUCACAUUUUCUGUGUGUGGGAGGGGAUUUCAAACUGUUAACACACCAAUGAAAUGACACUGGAUGGAUCCCGUUCACCUGCUGUGUUUGUGGAAAAGGCUUUGCUGUUUGCUAAUACACCAGCAACUUCACAGAAAGGCCACAGGUGAAGGAUCUGGCUUUGACUCACACCAAGGAAUGAAUCUUGGUUAUUGGAUUGAUGUUAUUAAACCCUGCUCUAUUAAAUGGGCUGAUAUUGUACAUAAAAUGUUGAUGCAAUUGUUUAUCUUUAGGAUAGGUUUUGAAAAUAACCACAUUGCAGCUGCACAUUAACAUCUUUACACUUGCAAAGACUGUCCACUUGUUUAUUGUUUGUGAAGUAAUUUUGAGACUCUGCACUCUGUGCCGGGUUGAGUACAGUGAUUCUCCACAGCUUGUACUUGCUUGGUAAUAAAAGGAUUUGUAUUUUUCUAAA